GAUGAAGAACGUAGCGAAAUGCGAUAAGUAAUGUGAAUUGCAGAAUUCAGUGAAUCAUCGAAUCUUUGAACGCACAUUGCGCCCGUCAGUAUUCUGGCGGGCAUGCCUGUUCGAGCGUCAUUACGCCCCUCAAGUCCCCUGUGGACUUGGUGUUGGGGAUCGGCGAGGCUGGUUUUCCAGCACAGCCGUCCCUUAAAUUAAUUGGCGGUCUCGCCGUGGCCCUCCUCUGCGCAGUAGUAAAACACUCGCAACAGGAGCCCGGCGCGGUCCACUGCCGUAAAACCCCCCCAACUUUUUAUAGUUGACCUCGAAUCAGGUAGGACUACCCGCUGAACUUAAGCAUAUCAAUAAGCGGAGGA
rnacentral:misc_RNA from 1 species